rnacentral:rRNA from 1 species
GUGUCAGCAGCCGCGGUAAAACGUAGGAGGCGAGCGUUAUCCGGAUUUACUGGGCGUAAAGCGCACGCAGGCGGCUCGGCAAGUCGGACGUGAAAGCUCCUGGCUUAACUGGGAGAGGCCGUUCGAUACUGUCGGGCUUGAGGUUGGGAGAGGGGUGCGGAAUUCCCGGUGUAGUGGUGGAAUGCGUAGAUAUCGGGAGGAACACCAGUGGCGAAGGCGGCACCCUGGCCCACACCUGACGCUGAGGUGCGAAAGCGUGGGUAGCAAACAGGAUUAGAAACCCCGGUAGUCC